UGAUGGUAAAUACCGAGUGUCGACUGGAUUGAAGGAUGCAAAGUAUUGAUCCUGGGUGUGUCUGUGAGGGUGUUGCCAAAGGAGGUUAACAUUUGAGUCAGUGGGCUGGGGAAGGCAGAUCCAACCUCAAUCUGGUGCGCCAUCUAAUAAGCUGCCAAUGAAUAUAAAGCAGGCAGAAAAACAUAAGAAGGUGAGACUGGCCUAGCCUCCCAGCCUGCAUCUUUCUCCCAUGCUGAAUGCUUCCUGUCCUCGAACAUCAGACUCCAAGUUCUUUAGUUUUGAGACUCGGACUGGCUUCCUUGCUCCUCAAGCUUGCAGACAGCCUAUUGUGGGACCUUGUGAUCAUAGAUCCUUGAUUAAUACAGAUGGGGUCCCACUAUGCUGCCCAGGCUGCUUUCAAACAGGGUCUUAACUCUGUCACCCAGGCUGGAGUGCAGUGGUGUGACCACAGCCACUGCAGGCUCAACCUCUGGGACUCAGGUGAUCCUCCCAUCUCAGCCUCCCAAGUAGCUGGGACUACAGCUAUGGAUUCAUGAGAAUCAAGACUAAGCAGCCUGAAUUGAAGGAGUAACAGUAUCACCUAACAAUGAUUUUGCUGCCAUAGUAGCUGUUUGUAUACUGGCCAUAUGCCUAGGUAAAAUGAGGCCAGAUCACUCUCAAGAGUUUUCUAUCAGAGUUGGUGGUGAACUACUGCUCACGGAUAAUGACGAGAAACCCCAGCUGAGGAGGCAAAUAUACUCAAGGAAAGUAAUAGUUUCCAAAUGCCUGGCAGUGCCAGGAAGGGGCCAUGUCCAUGGACCACUAUGUAAGGAUAUCUCAGUCUCUAGUCCAGCGUGGUUUAUGGUGCCAAAUAAGUGCCAGGUGAACUCACUACAUCUGACAAAAUCUCAAGGAACCAAGUUUACCAGAUAAUAUUUAUGAUUAUGUGAAAAAGACUGAGGAAAUCACUCAAGUGAUCCAUCAUACAGCACCUCCAGUUCCAAAGAAUACUGACUUACUUCAGCUGUACUGGUCUGGAGCUGCACAUUCUUUUCAGACAACUCUUGUUCCAGCUAGAGUGCAAUGGUGCAACCUCAGCUCACUGCAACCUCCGCUUCCCAGGUUCAAGCGAUUCUCCUGCUUCAGCCUCCCUGGUUGCUGGGAUUACAGGUGACUCUUCUCCUGUAACAGAGCCUCCUUCUUAGAAACUAUGGCCUCCCGUUUCUUUAAGUCUGCUUCCAGCUCCUCUAAUUCUUGGCGUUGGUUCAGAACUUUCUCUACUUCUUCAUCUAACCAUUUCUUUUGCUCAUCCAAUUUCUACAUUAAAAUUAAAAAAAAAGUUACUUGUUUUUCCUUCUGCCAUAAAAAUUAUAUGGUAAUAAUAGAAUUUCAGAUUGGCUGAAAUCUCUUAAAUGAACAUUUAAAAACUAUCACUCAGAGUAACUCAGGUAGCCGUCUGAGAUCCUAAAGACAUCAGUGGUUCUAGUCAAGAUGUAGCUAUGUUGUUUUAUAAAGAAUUAAAAUUUACUCCCCAGAUAUGUUAAACAGUCUAGGAUUUUUUAGCCUGACGAAGAAAGGGCUGAUAAUUUUCUAUGCCUAUAUUAAGAACAUGCUGGAAUCUUUUACUCUGUUGUAGUGGUGCACAGUUCCAUCACAGCACUUACACUGGUGGCUGCCCUACGUAUCUAUCUCCCCAGCUUGAGCUCCUUGAUUGAUUGCAGGGGCUGUAGUUUUUACCCGUCUAUCCACAUGGCUGGUAUAUUGCCUGGGCCACAGUAGGCAUUCAAUAAAAUGUUAAAUGAAUGAGUGAAUGAAUGCCUGAUUCAGUCAGUCAAUGAAGUGAAUAAAUGAAUACACACAGUGGAAGACACAGAUGAUGGAGGAUGGAAGGAAAGCCAAUUUGCAUUGUAGCUUGUCAACCUCAAAUAAUUAUUUUUAAAAAAGAAAAAAAACAAAAAUAAAAAAUUGCUGAAAAGAUCUCCAAAACAA
rnacentral:lncRNA from 1 species